UUUCAAUUCAGAGCGACCUGCAGUCGGGAGUUUUGGACAAACGCUGCAGGACCCUGGAGAGAUUUAGAAGAAUUGAGAGACUCAAACUUCACCAUAGCAGAUGCGAAAGGAGGCUUUUCCAGACAGCUUCAGUGCAGGUCCAGAAGGCGAUGGCUGUGAUGCCAACACAGUUGGACUAUAUCCAUGAGGAGCCAGAGUGGGAUUCCUUUGGAUCCGAAUUAUGCAGCCAUACAGGAUCGGACCCAGAGUACAAGCCAACUCACACUGCAUCAUCAUCCAGUGAUGAGGAAGAUUUGAAAAGCCGAGACAAACACAAGAACCUCAGAACUUAUGUGAAAAGACAAAAAAAACAAAAGACGAACAAAACAAAAUCAACUGUGACCAUAAAAACUUGUACAAAAAGGGAAGAUGGCAAACGAGCACGCGACAAAA